GCCGAAACCAAAAACUAAGAAACAAUUCAAUUCAUAAGUUUGGUAUCCAAAAUUUAGAAGCAUAAAGAGAAAAUUGUACUAUCCAAGCAGUUCAAAGAUCAAACAAAAAUAAGACAGGAAAACAAGACAAGUUCAAAGAAGAGAAAAUUCUAAUAGCCACCCUUGAGAUCAUUAACGACAUCGUACGGAAUGGGGGUCACAGUCUCCAUUAAAGCACCUUCAACCAUGAACCCUGGCUUGGGACCUUCUGGUUGCCUCUUGGUACAAAUGACUUCACCUUUGGCCUUGGCUUCAGCCUUCAGCUCGUCAUUCUUCACCUUCCUCAAGCGAAACUCCUCGGUACAUCGAGAAGGCUGCACAUGCUCGACGCGAACGUGAAUUCUCUUCUUGAUAAUUCUGUUGCCGACCUGCUUGUUGAUCUCAACGCCGAUGGCACGCUUUGUAACAUUCCAUACCCGUCCUGUGCGACCAUGGUAAAAUUUAUGUGGCAUACCCUUGUGGACGGCGCCG
rnacentral:misc_RNA from 1 species